ensembl:snRNA U5 U5 spliceosomal RNA
UCACUCUUGAUUCUCUUCAGAUCGUAUAAAUCUUUCGCCUUUUACUAAAGAUUUCCGUGGAGAGGCUCAACAAGAGUUUAUCUCAAUUUUUUUAUGCCCUGCAGUUAGCGGGGCU